GCAUAGAAUCAUUUACGAAAUGAUCUACAGUAGGUAUAAAUAAUACACAGUCUAUUUAUUUAUUUAUACUACAGCAUAUUAUAACAGCAGAAAUCAGGUGGAUCUGUGGGAUGUGUGGUCCACUAAUAUAUCGAUCUGAGUUUGAUUCCAUGAGUGUGUUUUGGACUACCUGCCCCUUGGACAAGUCCCUUUAUCUGGAUGGUCUCAGUCCACCCAGCAUGGCUACCAGCCUUGGCUGUGGCAGUAACCUGUGAUGGACUGGCACACUGUCCAGGAGGAGCUGUCGACUCUAAUCCACUAAUCCGACAUUGCAGAACUGCAGUUGAAACACCUGCCCAAUAGCCCUAAGGGCCUAUUUAGGAUGUACUUCUAUAUAAAAUAACAACAAAAUCUUUCUAUCUUACAUUUUGAAGCUUUUGUUACUGAAAAUGUAUUACUGAUAGAAAACACAAUUAUUUCAAUAUUAAAAUGU